AAGUCGUAACAAGGUUUCCGUAGGUGAACCUGCGGAAGGAUCAUUAUCACGUAUCCAAACGUAUCAACCAUUGUGAACUGUACUUGACCUAUAGAAUGAAAAGAGGUAGUGUUAAUUUUAACAUUUAUGAAUAACGUUUUAUUGUUGAUUUGAGUUAUUCGUUAUUAUUAACCAAUGGUAGAAAUACUAUACUCUUUUCUCUGUAGUGUAUUUUUCAAAUCACUUUAAUCAUUAACAAUUUAAAUUUAAAAACAAAUUAUCAUUUUGAACUGAUUUAAUUUCUUUUCUCUUUUUUUUUUAAAUUAAAAAAAAAGAGACUGAAAUAAUAUUACGAAACAUAAGAACAACUCUUAGCAACGGAUAUCUUGGUUCUC
rnacentral:misc_RNA from 1 species